UACAGAGGUCUCAAGCGUUGUUCGGAUUCAUUGGGCGUAAAGGGUGCGUAGGCGGCGCGGUAAGUCGGGUGUGAAAUCUCGGGGCUUAACUCCGAAACUGCAUUCGAUACUGCCGUGCUUGAGGACUGGAGAGGAGACUGGAAUUUACGGUGUAGCGGUGAAAUGCGUAGAUAUCAAGAGGAACACCUGAGGUGAAGACGGGUUGCUGGGCUGACACUGACGCUGAGGCGCGAAAGCUAGGGUAGCAAACGGG
rnacentral:rRNA from 1 species